ensembl:snRNA U1 U1 spliceosomal RNA
AUACUUAUCUGGCAGGGCAGAUACUAUGAUCACUAAGGUGUCUCUCCCAGGACAAGGCUCAUCCAUUGCAAUCAGCAUGUACUGCACCUUGCAAUUGCCCCUAAUGUGGAUAAUUCAAUUGUAUAGUUUGUGGUAGUGGAGGGACUGCGUUCUCGCUCUCACUUG